rnacentral:lncRNA from 1 species
UGCUGUCAAUUACACCCUUAACCAAUUUAGUUUGCACAACAAAGAUAAGGCAAUUAGAACUUCCCUUUUUCUCUGUCUUGUACACUUCCUGCAGCUAAUAUAAAGCUUUGGUCUCCAAUUAUAAUCUACAGCCAGAGUAUGCCAACAUCAACAAUUCACUCAUCUUAACAAUUUCAAAUUAUAACAAAUAAGACAGUUUAAGCCAACUCCCUUAAUUUCACAACUUCCAACUGAGAUGUUUCUGCUACUGUCGCGUCAUAAAUCCUCUGCUCAAACUUAAAGAUUCAAUCAAUUCAGAUAAGCACACCCAAAUUUAUACUAAAACCNCGUAAAAUUCAAAUGGCAAUGUACAUUUAUCCAGAUGCAAAGGAUGUGAUUCAAGGCUAAAACCCAAUCUGAUUAAACAACAACCCCAACUGAUUAAAAUUUGAUCAAUGUAAGCAAUGCACAAAUNAUUUCAAUUAAGUCAGCUCUGCACACAUGAAUCACAACAAAGCUAGCACAUACAGUUUAUCAAUUGCAAGUUGUGAUUAAAAGAAGAAAGACAUUCAGAUUUGUAUCAAUCAAACAGGACAAAAUUGAAUCUGGACCCUUCCAAAGUUCACAUCAAACAAAGAAUGACUUUUUCAUGCAAUGAUAACUGGAUGCACAAAACUGAUUAUGACAAGAGCAACUUUUUCCAGCAAGUCAGUGAAUUAAACUGACAGAGUUAAUGGACCAAACUUCUCAAGAACAAUAUUCUAAACUAAUUCAGGAAUCAAUGUAACAUGCUAAUCAACUCAAUGUACAGAGAAUAAAGUGAAGCAAGUCAGGAUUCAGUGCAGAUUUCNACAAUUUAAUCAGAUCACAAGAUCAGCAAUCAUAUUCAUAACAGUGAGUAUAUCAAUGAAUUCAACAAGCAAUGUUUGAAACGAAAUGAGUGCAAGGACAGUUUAAACAUUCACAGGCACAACAAUCAGCUUAAACAAAAAAUGACGGCAGUUGCAGUUUAAANAGAUUCAGAUGCGCCAAUCUGAUCAUUCAAACUCAUGUUCCUGCACAGUGAACAAUCUCAAAUCAGUUAGAACUAAAUCUCUCUCAAAUGGCCAAGCAAAUUAGGCUAAAAUCAGCCUUACAAAACUCNCAUCACUCAGGCUUCUCAUUAAAACUU